UAAAAGUUUUAACAGGCCAACACUGCCA
rnacentral:piRNA from 1 species